AAUUUGCAUUUUCCUAGUGGUGUCCUUAAUUUUUAGAAAAUAUAUUUAUAGCUAUAGAUUUUGGAAAAUGUGAUGCUUUUCUGUUCUCUCAUCCUUUGUGUAUAAUUUGUUUUUCUACUCCUAAAUUUUUUUAAGAUCAAUUCUAUGUCGUAAGUGUCCUGACAUGUUACUAUAUAAUACUAUGGUGGGAUUUUUGCAUAUGUCAUUGUCACCUUGUAAUUUCUGAUAAAGUUAGUUAUUUUGCUUAUUCUCACUUUUUUAAUUUUCCCAGGAUCUCAAAAAUUCAUAUAUGAAUGUUGAAACUUUCUCUUAUUAUCCCACUGUAGCUGUGAAAGAACAAUUUCAGUCUGAGCUUUUAUGUGCAAGAAGUUCUAGACUAAGUGUCUCUAGGGGAAAAAGAGGAGAGUUGUGAAGAUGAAUACCUGACUCUUGCCCUGAAAACCUGUCAGUUUAUUUUGGGAAAUAGACACAUAACUGACCUAUCUGGAUCCAAAUAUAUCAGUGAUGAAUAGAAAUGAACUGAAUUUCCAGUCAGGGAAGAAAAUAAGGGCAGAAGGGAGAGCAUGAGCAAAAGAAUAAGGGAAAAUGUGAAAGUGACUGGCAUGUUCACACACCGAACAAUGAUGGAAGAAAUCUAAAGCCAAAAGGCUGGGACUGAGGGGCAAGGGAUACACCUAGAAAUGAUAAGGGAUGUGUGCAUGGGAGGACUGGGAGUAUGGACUUUAUUCUGCAUGCAGUUAGAAUAACUGAAAGAUUUUGUUCAAGGGAAUGAUAUGAAAAAGCUUAAGAAUGAUAACUCAGGUAGUGAAUGGAAGAUGAUUUAGAGAGAGCUGGGAGUCUGUGAACAAGGGUAGUGGAAGGAAAGAAGGAAGCAAGGAAUUUAUUUAAAGACAUUUUUAACACCCAUAUAUCAAAACUAGUAAGCAAAUUGGAUGUGGGUAUUAUUGGAGAUGGGGUGGUCAGAGUUGUCUCUUAGAUAUCAAGUAUGAAUGAUUGAUGGAUGCUGAAGUCAUUAACUGAGCUUUAGACAAGGUGGAAAAGCAGAUUUUAUUGUAUAUAAAAUUUGUUUUGGGAAGCAGUAGAAUUUAGCAAUCAGAUAGACUUGCAUUCAAAUCACUGUACUUGCUCUCAAUGGUUUUUUGACAUUGUGCACGUUACUUAAUCACUCUGAUUCUUAGUUUCUUUCAUGGUAAAACACAUAGAGUAAUUCCUCUCAAAUGGUUAUUAUGGAAAUUGAAACAGAUAAUGUAUGUGAAAUAUAUUAAUAUUUCUAUCAUGUUAUUAUUUAUUACUAUUUUUGUACAUAAUAUUCUUGAGAUUUAUAUUAUAGAAGUAUAUAGAUGUUCAGAGUUUGGAAGGUGAAUAAAAAUAAGCCUUGCACUCUGGAGAAAGUUUAAUACUGGAAAAAAAAUUUUCUAUAGUUGAUAUCAUGGAAGGGACUGUACAAAGACCAUAACAGGAACAAAGAUGUCUUUCAUCAGUCACAAGAGAGCAGAUGAAAAACUAAUGCUAAACGAGCCAGAUAAAUAAUAGUGAAUGAUAAAAAGGAAGAUCAAAAUAGUAGUGUCAAUUAAGCUAAAAGAGGAGAUAAUGUCCAGGAAGGCAGAUAUCACAAAGAAAUCAAGGCAAGUGAAAAAUUAAAAGUCUAUUUGACAGUCCAGAGGUCAAUUUCAGGUAGUUUCAGUGAAGUGGUUGAGGGAAAAAAAUUCAGUGCAGUGGAUUCAAGACUCACUGGGAGGUAUAAGAGUAAAAAAAUGAGUGUAGAUUAUUCUUAAGAGCGUGUGUCCAAAGAGGAGAAAGACGUGGAAGCUGAAAUACAUUGAUCAUUGUCUCUGUUUUCUGCGUGGAAAGGAUUGAACAUGUUUGAAGACCAAGGUGAGAGUAUCAGACAAGAGGUAGGUUAGGGAUUCAAGGAAAGUAGUGAAAGUACAGUAAAACCACUGAGGAGAAUGGGAAAGGAAGUCAAAAGAAGGUGUUGACUUACUUCAUUCAUAUAAAUGAUCAUGCAGUUAUAUGCUCAAGCUGAAAAAUAAAAAGUUCUGUAUCCAAAUAAAAAUUUGAGUAAAAUCUCAACACACAGCUCUGCAUCGUGUAUUUCCUCCAGUUCCUACUGGUGUGUCCUGUUAUAAGAUGUAUACAUCAUUUCUGGGGCCCUCACAAGUAUUACAAAAAUCAUAGGAUACUCUUCGAUUUUCAGAUUUUGUUUUAACUUAUUCUCUGUUGGCAUUUCUUAUGCCUCAUCCAUCCUAUAUCUGACUAUCUGUGUUUCCAAAACAUGCAUAUUUCACAAAGGAAUAUAUUUCCAUUUUCUGCUACAGGCACAUAUUCUGCAGAAUCUAUUACGUUACAAAUGCAACCUUUGGGAAAAAAUGAGAAGUCAGUAACUCCUGUAGGUCGUAGAAAGAGGUUAGAAAACAGUAGAUGUAAUACACAAUUAUCAUCUGUUUUCUAGCACUCCUUAAUGACAAGGUGGGCUAAAUAGCAAUUACUAUCCUUGAGAAAGUUGGGCUUGUCAAAUGCAGCAUCUAAGAAAGAAAAAAAUAUAAAUAAAAUCAGUGGGGGUUUUUUUUUGGUUUGUUUAUUCAAUGGCCAAAUAGUUACCAUAUAGGAUUAAUUUUAUUUGUGUAGUUCUGUUACCAAAUAGAGUAAAAAUCCCAGUGAAAGAACAUAAAUAUUUAUUAGGCAAAAGGAUGUUUGUGGAAUCUUCUCCUUCACUUAAUUCUAGAUAAGCAAAAUUAUUUUACCGUGUUGUAUUAGGAGAGAUCUAAACUGGGCAUUUUUAUUAUGAUUUUGUCCCUGCUAGUUCCUACAUUUCUUAAAGCUAUCAGCAGAGCUAAUUUAGAAUUUAUAAAACUGCAUUUACCAAUAUUGAGCUAUAAUGAUGUAAAAAGUUUCAAUUCAGUAGUCAUGUCAUAUUUGGUCAAUAGCCAGCAAUUGCCAUUAGUGAUAAGUGAAGCACCUAUAAGAAGUACCAACUCUGUGAGAGAAACAGAUCAAAGGGAAGUGAAGUGAUCUGUAAUGAGCAGAGAAAAAUCAAUAAGGAAAAAAAAGAGCCUAUCUCUUAAAAUGAAUGAAAAAGAGACUGGCUGAUAUUUGAACUACAUUUGUUCCAUGUAAGUAGUCACUGUGAGUGGUAAAGCUUAGUGCAAAAACCUUCUUUCUUGCUUUAAUUCUCCAAUUGCAAGUCUAUUCUAAAACUGUAUACAGUGAUUGUAUCUAAUAAUACAUUGAACAAUAUGUGUCUUCUUUAAAAAUCAUGUUUAAAGAGGCAAACUUAAAGCAAGGUCUACGCUAUACAGAAUCCUCUCUAUGCAAUAGUAACUCACACACCUGAUUGGCAUUCUAGACUACAUCACUUCUACUAGCCUAAUUAAGAUUGAAUAAAGAACAGCAUGUGAAUUCUCAGUCUGCUAUGUAGGUUGGCCUUGGGGCUAACUUAAUUCAAUGUUCUGUCUUGAAUCAUGUAGAAAACUUCUCAGGAAAACAUCAAAGAAGAAUUCAUAAGUCCUUGAAGACUAAACUAUAUCAUGGAUCCCAGCAGGAUAAAUGGGAACUUUGACAAGAAUGGAGAAUGUGGGACCUCAAAGGUGUAGGUACAAUUGCUCUGCUACUCUGUUAAGCUCCUCCCAUUAAGAAAACUGCCUCAGCUUUUCAUUAACAAUAGGCUUUUCUAGGAAAUCCAUUGCUUUAACUGGAGAAUGCACUAAAGCAGGGAAAUUCAGGAUUUUAGCGGGGACAUUCAGUACAUCACUUCACUGCUCAAAUACACUAUUGCUUUAUGUCUCUCCAGGAUGAGACAAAAUCAGGAGGAUAUCUAGCACUUCUAAACUUGAAGGGCAAGGGUCAUCAUUUCUGAUCAUGGAGGUUUUGGGGAGGGUAAGGAAACAGUGGCAUUUUAUCUCACCCUACUACCCAAAUGUCUUUAUUAAUUCAAAUAUUUGGAUUCCAAGUCAAGGGCUCUGUGGUAACCAGCCUUCAAUAUGUCCCCUAAUGCUUCCUGGUAUCCGCACCCUUGUGAAUUGUACUAGGGUUGGCCUAUUUGACAAAUCAAAUAUGGCGGAAGGGAUGGUAUAUCUCUUCUGAGUUUAAGUUAAGAGAUUAUAGCUUCCGACUUGGUUGUGUUCUCUCUCUCUCUCUCUGAUCACUCCAUCUGGGGGAAGCCCUAUGGAGAGGCCCACAUGGUGAGGAACGGAAACCUCUAAUAGGCCUGUGAAGGAGCUUGGAAACAGAUUUUCUAGCCUCAGUCAAGCCAUAGAGAUGCAGACCAGCCAACAGCUUGACUGCAACCUCAUAAGACACCCUGAGCCAAAAACAAAGGACUGAGCUACUUCUAGAUUCCUGACUCUCAGAAACUGUGUGAUGUAAUAAAAGUUUCUUGUCUUAAGUAACCAAAUUUUGCAGUAAUUUUUCAUGUAUUAAAAGAUGAUUAAUAUGGGCCGUUUCCAUCUACACUGGGACACAACUUUUUCAUUUUUGAAAUGAUUUUUUUAAGACGAGUCAUGUCAAAGAUUCUUUUACUUUAUGAUUGUCACUGAUAGAGUGGAACCAUGCCUUUUUAGAAACCAUGAGCCUUUGCGUCUGGGAAAUUUAAAAGAAAAAAGAUUCUCUUCUGGUUUUCAGGAUUUUAGUGAUUUUAUUUAGCUCAUGGUGUCUAGGACACAUGAUAGGCACUAAGGUUACAGACAAUCUUUAUAAAACCUGUAAAGGUUUAUGUUCUGCAAUUAUGCAUAUUUAUUGUCCUCCUUUCUCCAAGUUACCCUGGCUUCUUGCACUAGUCUAUAUGUAUAAGUUGAAGAUAAUAAUAGUACUGGGUUAUUGGAGUGAUAAAAUGAGUAAAUAUAUGUAAAGUACUUCAAACAGUGCCUGGAAUUUUGAAAUUAUUAUAUACAUGCCCCUUCCUGUAUUGUCUCCUUCUCAUCAUUCUGCCUGUUAUAAGGAAAGGAAACAUUGGUUGAUUUAAGGACUACAGUGUCAAUUAACCCAAGAAAGUAAUAGAGAAGAAACAUUAGCAAACUAGGUUUGAAUGCAGAUUCUGCCAUGUAAGCAAGGAGUCCAGAGUAUACCUCCAAUACAGAUGUUGAUUUAAUAUAUAUCCUUUCUUUAAAAAAUAGAUUUUUCUUAUUGUAGAAAACACUUUACCAUUAUAAUUUAAUCAGAAAGUAUUAGGGAAAUAAGGUUGUAAAGGAACUAAAGGGUCAUACCAUUUUAAUUAUUUGAGCAGUCAUACGAACCAAGAGGGACAGGGGGAGAGGGAUUUUCCCCUCCCCACAACUAAAAUGCGCUGCACGUAUUUUCUAGACUAAUAUUCUUACUGCCAUCAUUUUUAAUACAGAUGUUUACAGCUUUCACUAUCUAUGCAUUCACUGAUGGUAUGAUUUCCCAAUAGCCAUGUGGAGAUUCUGGGGCCUCCUUUCAGGAAUUCUUCUAUGUCCUACUUCAGUGCAGCGGAACAAAGACCUUCUAUUAAAUUAGGGUUUUUUCGUGUAUGUCAUUUUUAUUCUUGAUGUCUCAUAAAGGGCUGAUUUUUCUCUUCCCUGCUUAACCUAUUAACUCCUGUCUGGUUUUGGUUUAAGCAACAGCACAGAGUACAUGCACAAGGGGCUCAUCAGAGACAACUACCUCAAACUCAGUGCUGUUCAGUGUCUCAAAAUCUUUGUGGAAAUAAGUAGUAUUUACAAAGGAUUUCUUGCAAAUUAAGCAGUCCAUUUUUCUUGCUCAGAGAUUCUUACAUUACCUUGGGUAAAGGAAGAUCUAAGAGCACAUUAAAAGGACAUAUAACUUUUAUGCAUAUAAAUUUUAAUGGGCAGUCUAUUAUUUUUGUCACGUAUUCAAAGUGGUCUGUAACUAAGAAAUGAUUAAGAAUCAUUUCACCUGAAAUUUUCAAAUCUAUAGUUGGAUUAAUGCAUAAGGGCGGAAGGCUGUGUGCCAUGUACCUGGACUUCAGUACUCCAAAACUGAAACAUGUAUAUAUACAUACACACACACGUAUAUGUUAAAAACAACAAUAACAGAAGCAAAACAUAUCACUUUGAUUAAUGAAGAUAUUUAUCUUUGGUAUCUGUAUGAGCAAUAAAUGUGCUUCUUUGAGAAACUGUCCUAUCAUUGUAUAUUGGAAGCGAUGGCUCGAGUAACUGGUUGUGUUUCCUCUGGCUUUACUGUUAUAGACAGUGCACUGCCAAAUUAGAGGCUCCAUGUUAGCUGUUGUACCCCAGGACAUGCAUUUUGUGUAGCUUUUGAAUCUAUUGUUUCUACCCUCAUUGGCCUUUACUACAAAUUCUUUGUUUCUUUUUGAUACCCAUUUUGUUGUACUAUGUAUUUUUAUAAGUUGCCCUAAAUCAUUUCCAAAAGUACUGACUGUACAAAUAUAAAUGAGUAAAUAAAUAAUAAUAGUGGCCGAGGAAGCCCAUAAAGCUUUUUGCUUGUUUGUUUUAUACAUUUUUUUCACAAGGUCCACAGUUUUAAAGUGCUUUCAGAAAUUGUUUCUUUAAUAACAUACUUUUGUAGUUUUUGUUGUAAAUAUUUAUUACCAAAGUUUAAAAGCUACUAAUGUAUCCCUAAUAAAGUGGUAAGAGAAAAGGAGCCAACAUUGAAAAAUGAAUUCAAAGUAUUUUAACCUGAAUAGGGAAGAUUUUUCCUCCCCCUUAGGUUUAAAAACAUAUUUUAGGCAUCACUGCUUUUGGUAGAUGUGCUAUUUUGCAGUUGCUUGUUCAGAAAAUCUAACAAAAUUGAAUAUACUACUCAGAAUGUGUCUAUCUUGUCUUCUACUUAUAAACACAAUUAUGAAAUUCUGCCUUGGGAUGUAUUUUAGUGCACACCAGUGUAUUUUGCGUACAUGUUUGAGUGUAUAACUAAGCUUUGUCUUUUAGUAAAAUUGCAGUCAUUUAUAUACUCUCUAUUUUGAUUUCUUUUAGUCUUAAACUUGCAUUUGUAAAAAGUUAACAAUAGAUACUGCUUCUUUCUUGCUGUUUGGUACAAACAGCUUGCUGACUACUAUCUUAUUGUAUUGUGAUAGGAUGUACCGAAGAAUGGAAAAAGGGUAAAAAAGAAAAUUGAUUUUUCUUUUCAUAGCCUAAGUAGGACUCCCAGUCUACAAUCCCAUCUAUAGAAUAAUCAUUUGAAUGUAUGUUUAGUGGGAAAGUCAAAAGCCCAAGCCUUGGGCAUAGCGUGUCUAAUAAGCAAGCCCUAGAGAUCUGCUAUAAACUGUUUCUCCCCAGACAGUAUUAAUUGUGCUGUAAUGAAGCAUUGAGGGUUAGCCUAGGGAAAAGAAUGAGAAUUCUAUUCACAUUACACAAAACUCUAGCAGUGACAGAUUAGGUAAAAUUUAAAAAGCACCGUUAUAUAUAUUUUUCUAACCUCAACAGAAGCUACUACAACUCUCCUCUUUGUGUAGCCUGUAUGCCCAAGAAUAUGUUAUGUCCUCAAACUGAAGAGCUUCGUUCAUCACACAUCUCAUCCCAGCCUAGGCCUAGGCUUAGUUCUGUGCAUGGUGCAUGGUGCAUGGUAAGUACUCAGUAAAUACUUGUAGAAUAAUUGAUAACACUCUAAGGAGAAAGAAAAGCCCUGCACGGUGGACCUGUGACUCAGAUACAGCUGUCAGGGAAGAAAAAUGAAGUGUGCUGGUUGCCAAAAACCAAGUUUGCUGAAAUAAAAGGAAGUGGCAGUCUGGUAGCUCCUAGUCAGAGAGCUGAUAUGCACUGCUCCUGUUCACAUUAUGGGUGAUUUAGUGCUAGGCCGGAAGAUGUGGUCAUUGCUCUACUCAGCUUCUGCUAGAAGAAUCAGAGCCAGGCUGAGCCUUAGACAAGGAAAAGAUAAUGUGAGCAUCACUUCCUUCACGAGUUUGCAGUGAAUCACUAAACUAUAAAGACUUUACUCUUAAUACACAAAGAGAAAAACCCAUGAUAGGUUUUUAAGGACUGUUAACAUAGCCUGAUGGGCAAACUUUCCAAGUAGUCAGAAGUAGGCAGGGAAAAGUGGAACUAAGACACUUCAGAGUGAAGAUUAAUGGACUUGAGAGUGAAUAUUGAAGGGGUAGCUACUUGGAGCUAUUUUCUUUCCACUUUUGGAGAAACUCAGUGUCACUGUGUAAAAAAGUGUCUAAAAUAAAAUAAGAACUAUAGACAUAUGCAUUUAGGGAUAUGGAAUCAACUCAGAGAAAGUAAAGGCAUGCUUCUAGGUUCUUCUACUAUCUUCCUUUGAAGAGUGCUUGGGCAUUAAUCACUUUAAUUAAUUUCUUCAUGUCUCUCCAUUACUACUUUAUCCAUCAGGAUUUGGCCUGAGAAGUAGAAUCACUAUGAGUGAUAUAGAUUAAAGAUUUAUUAUAGAGACCUUUCACCUCACACAAUUGUGGGAACUGGAGCAAAAAUUUAUGCAAAGCUGUUGCCUGUCCAUCUUGUGCUAGGCCUCAAGUCUCAAAAGGUCAUCUAAGCCAGCAGUCUGGAAAGAAAGCUGGAUGUAUAUAAUACAUAGAAACAGAGAAAUUGUUUCUCUGAGAACAGAAAAAAAUUGAAACCAAUGAGGAGAGACUGCAAUCCAUGCGGCAAAAUGGAGACCCACAUCUGUCUUUUCCUGCUACCAAAUCUAUGGGUAGGAGAAGCUGGUGCCUUUUGUUGUAGAGCUGAAUACAAAACUUCAAGUUCAUGGUUAGCCUCAAGUUCUUCAAUAAUAUCAUUUUAUCAGAUUUCUGUGACCCUCCCCAAACACAUACAUGUCCACUCUCUACAGAGCACCAAAAAAUUCUCCAAAAGACAAAAAUAAGGGCUACCAAAUAUCAUCCGGAAUUGAACCACAGUUAUCUUCAAGACAAAGAACACUUUCUGAGGGUGCUUUUAGACUAGAAGAGGUUUUCCAAGAGGAUGAUUCUGAAUACAAUGAAAUGGAAUCUUUUCCUACCUUUUUCAGGAUCUGUGUGCAGUAGUGGUAACUUUAAAAGAAGAUUCAUUGGUCACCUGAAAAAGAUGACUCUUUCCAUCCCUGUUCCUUCAGAAUUAGUGUUGUAUUUUGUAGCUGUCUCUACAAAGGCCAUGUCUAUCAGAUUAAUCCCUGAUCACAUGAAGACUGUCCAUUGGUAGUCAUCCAGAUGACCUGUGUUGUAGUACUGUGCCAUUCAGGAAUUUAGUGCCAGCUAAAUGCACUGGCUGAGCAAUGAAGCUUCGAUGUGCACAGUAGUAAUGCUAUUUUUAUUCUUCCUGUAGGGAGGAAUGUUGGAGACUGGCUUUUUAAAAAUAACCAGUUUAGAAUGAAGCAGCCAUAUGGCUGAUUAUAAUGAUGGUUUUCAUUUUAGUUCAGUUUUGGUAAAGUUAGAAUCUGAUACUAUAAGUACUCUGUCAUAUAACAGCAGAAGAAAACCUAGGCAUUUCAGUCUUAGCAUUCAUGCUUGUACAUAAACCUUGCAAUUCUAAAGAUAAUGUGGAGGACCAAGCAUUUUUAUUAAAAUUUUCAUAUUUACAUAAUGCCUUACUGUAAUGUUUACUCUAAAAUAAUUGGGGGACUAGUGGGAAAUUGAGGAAAAGAAAUGAACAUACAAGAAUUACUCCUUAAGAAAGGAAUUUAUAAGACACAGUUUACCUAAUGCAGGUGAAAUUGGAAUCAAGCAAUCUAUAAAGCUACAUGUUCACAUUUUUAGAUUUGGUUCACAUUAAUAAGGACAUUAAAAAAGAGAUUAUUUGGUCACAUAAAAGAGAUGAUUCUCCAUAUGCUUUUUGCCUAAGAACCAAUGUUGUCUUUUGUAGUAAUGUAUUGUCUUUUCUUUGGCUGUGUCUUAUCAUAAAGUAAAAGAUGUAGAAAUUAGAAAAGAAAGGGAAAAUCAAAGAAAUAUGAGAUCUAUGUGUAUUGCUGCAGUGAUUUUUGAAUUUGUCCAAAUGUUUUCCUGUGAAGUUUGCAAAAAAUGCUUUUCUCAAACAUGGAUGCCAGAACAAGUGCAUUAACUUGCUACGGUAAGUUUUAGAUGGAAAAAGUUGAUAAUAUUAAUUUUAAAGUUUGUAUUACAAAGUUGCCUUUUGAAAGACAUCACAUUAUGUCCAGAUCUGGAAAUAUAAAUGCUAUGUUAUUUUUGUGAGUAUCACAGUAUCACAAUAUUAUGUCUGUUAGGUCUGUCACGUAAUAUCAGGUGUCAGCGUUGAAUUACUCACUACAUAACUUAAUUCUUAGAUACUGAAUAUCAUUUAAUUUUUUUAGACUAGUAUAUUUGUGUAAAACAAAUGUACUAAUUUAAAACAAAAUUGUGGGGGAAUUAAGAAAGAUUUAAAGAGAUGCCAAUUACGUUUAGAAUUUGUCUCACUAAAACCUAUUUGGUAACUUGGUACUCUAAAUAUAAAGUUUGCCAAUAAUGUUUGACAUUGGAAGUUUACUUGAGGAGCCUAUAGAGAAUGAUAAACUUGACCUGCCUUGGGAAGCCCUAGUCUAUCAGACAAUCAGUCACCCAGUUUGUCUGUAAGUCAGUUAAUCAGGCAGGCAGUCAGUCACCCAAUUAAUUUACAUUUACCUGUUACAAGGUGGAACAUUUUGGAACCUAAAAGAUAGUGCAAACUUUCUCAGCACCACAGCCACGUGAUUAUAUCCUCCAUCUAGGCUGAUAUAUUGGGGGAGAGGAGGCAUAAAGAAUCACUUGAUAGCUGAGAAGUUUUAAUCUCAGGGUAAAAUACUGAUCUUUAAUUUGCUUGAUUCAAAUAAGUAUAUUUAAGAACUGCUCUUAUCAUUGUAUCCAUGCCAUUUUGGGGACCAUAUGAUAAGCAACACAGUAGGCUAUGGUGUACACAACACUAGGUCCAAAUCUUGGUUCAGCUGCCAAUUCAUUUUAAGAUGUUUAUCAAAUCUAGCUUUUGGUUCAUGGCCUGUUUAAUUAGAGAGUUGGCCUAAAUAACUCCUAUGCCUUAUAAUUCUAGAAUUCCAUAAUCAUUUUCUUCAUCUGUGUCAAUAUAUGAUAUAGUGAUUCUCAACAAUUUCUCACAGCUUUCUGGUGUAUUGUGAGUCUUUUCAGUGUACUACCUCAAGCUGAUCAUUGUGCAACAUUUCAUAUGGUUACAAUCACGUUUACAAGCUGUUUUAGUGAUGUCCCUCAAAUAGAUCAUUAAGUUGAGUGGACCAUGGUACAGUAUGGGACACAACUUACCACAAAUAAAAAGUAAAAAGCAUAGGAUAAUAUUAAUCCAGUGCUAAAGAAAAGUAACUUCCUUAAGAAGGUAUUAGGCCAGUCACAUUAAGAUAGGAACCAAUUACUGAGCCAGCAUCACAAGGUUAAGUGUAAAAAUAUGCAUGGUGGAAUAACCGUGAAUGGUUUUCUAGAUACCAUGAGAACUUGUUAUACUUCAGUAGUGAUUGCAUUAUAAUUAUAAUUGCCUUUUAAAAAAAGUGUUGUGUUGGGUCUUUUAAAUUUUUCCAGUUUGCUACCAAAUAAUUCUGGCCUUCAUAGGGGUUUUACAAAUACAAGAAGUUUAAGAUUUGCUGUAUGUUAGAUAAUCAAGCCGAUCCACAGUGAAUUCAACUUGAAUUACAUGGAGCCCUCUGAAUGAAAUCUUAAAAUAAAAGCAGCGUAUCUGGAGACAGACCGCUUUAAGUGCACUGUGACUUAGUGCAGCAUGUUUUGCUGAGUGUACUAUAAACAAGAAAAUUUGGAAAAAGCAAAGCCUGCACCUCGUGUUCUGUUAUGGUAGUUUACUUUGAGGAAUGUGCACUCCAAGUUGAUAUGCUGAGUAAAUAUUCCGCUUGCACUCGUAUUCAGACUUUGAGGGUGUUUCUUUGAUAAGUAAAUAUUGCUCCAGUUUAUGAAAUUCUUAAAAUAAAAAUUAUUAAUCAGAUGGGUUUUUUUAACCAUGAGAUUAAUAAUAAGUAUGAAGAAAUAACUUGGUUCAGAAAUGGAAAAAUGAAAAACAUGGAUCAAAUUGUACAGCACUUCUUUGACAGUUUGACAUGAGGCCAGAAGCAAGAGUUUACACUAAAUGUUGUUUUUAAAAUGCAACCUUUAGUGUUAUUUGAUUUUUUCCCCAAGCAAACUAAGAUGUGAAAUUUAAUAAUCCCAUCUGACAAUUUUAUAAAAAUGGGCUGCCAUGCUUAAUUGAUGACAGCCCUCUUCAUCUGCCACCUUCAGGCAUUUGCUGUAAGUUGUUGAUACAGAGUUCACACCCUCUAUCCGUCAGAUCUUUGACUGCAUCUGUGUUAUUAACCUUUGGGUUGAUCUGAGAGUGGCAUCGCCCCAACUAACUGGCUGUCAUGUCAGCUUGGCAGCUGGGCUUCACGUGUUCUCUUUCACUUUCACUUUGUCUCCCGAGAUCAUCUGAACAGAUAGGGACAAAGCGAUGUGACCAAUUACCUUGUAAUUUCUAUGUUGUCCAACUUUUCUCCUGAGAUAGUGCCGGGAGGAAAUAAAAUUCUAAAAGAUAUGAGUACUUGAUGUACUAGAAAUAUAAUAGUCAAAUUCUUUGAGCCGUAGAGACCAAGGUUCUCAUUUCUCCUUCAACUCUAUGUGACUUUUUGCAAGAUACUUUACUUUUUUGGGCUUCAUUGGUAAAAUAAGGAAAAUUACUUUGAGGCAGAGAGAGUAAAUUUUCCUCCAGAAUUUAUUCUUCCUGUAUUUCUUUUAUAGGUAGGCCCUACUUGUCAGGAGCAGAUCUAUCUUUUGAAAAGGUUAAGAAAAAAGGAUAUGAAAUAAAUAAAUGAAUAAUUUUCUAGCUCUCCCUCACCCAGGGUCUUGGAAGGAGGCUGUGUAAGUGAGGCGUUUUACCACCUUAACUUCACAGUAAAUCUCAGUAGAACUACUUCGACCAACUUCACCACAUAUACACAUAUUUUAGUAGGGGUCCUGCACUCCCACCUAGAAACUACAUUUCUUAGCCUGCCUUGUUAUAAAGUAUCAUCAUCUGACCCAGUUCUGGAUAACAGGAGAACACAAAUGAUAUAUGCAACUUUUAGACUAUAUCCUUAAAACCCCUAGUUUGUCCUCCAUUUCCUUUUUUCCUUUUUCCACUGGCUGGGAAAUGGCAAUAGCUGGACUUGGGAAAUGGUACCAUCUUGGACUCAGAGAUGGAAGCUCUAUACUGAGUCUGGCAGAGCCCUCUUGGGAUAACUCAUUCUGGAUCAUGCUAUAUAUAUAAGUGUUCCUUAAAAAGGAAAUAAACCUGUAUUCUUUUUUAAGUAAAUGUAUGUUUGGGUCUCUUUACUAAAGUAGCCUAGUCUAUAUCCUAACAAAUAUAAAUACCUACAUUCUGGUGUUUUUAUGAGAGUUAAAUCAUAUAGUGCAUGUAAAAUGCUUGCAUGUGGUACUCUGCAAAUACUAGGUCUCUUGCAGGCUAAAAUUUUAAAUUAUCUAGUUUUUUGGGGCAAAGAAGUAAUCCUAAAAUCAAGAGAGAAGUUAAACCUUAGUAUUAAUAGUUUAAAAAUAUAUCAUUAUUUCUUUAUCUUUAAAUAGAUGUUCACUGCCCAGUAUCAUCUCAUUUAUCUUCAUAUUUAUUAUCCUUUAUGGAUAUUUGGAUGAGUUUAUCAUGUAUUUAAAGUUUAUAGGACAUAUGGUAGGUAUUCAACACAGAUUGAUAUACCCUAUUUCUCUCCUUUUAUCACAUUCUACAUUAGAUAUAAAAUAUAGUGGCUUUCCAGCUCACAAAUAUUCACCCAUUGGCCUUCCCAUUCUUCUGAGGAGCUGCACCUUCCCACCACAUUCUAGCCAUGUGGUCUGAAGGGAACUGUGGGGAUUGCCUCUUUAUUCACAGUCCUUUUUGGGCUUAUGAAUAUUUCCCUGGGAUUUCUAAAAUAUUCAUGAGAGAGAGGCAACCUUUUCCCUCUGGUUGCAAUGUUUUGGAAAUGUGAAAAUUGAAGGUUUCUGCAGCUCUGCUGUCACACAGGAAGAGUUUUGAUAAUAUUUAUUUCUUCUUCUAAAUGUGCACAACAAAUUUCAUCCUAGCUUUUCUUGUGAUUCACGUCCAUGAAACAAAAUAAUUCUCCUCAAUUAAGGUGAACUAAGGUGGAUUUCUUUCACUUGCUGUGAAAAUAAUACUUGAAUAAGGAGUCUCUUGGCUACAAAGCCAUAUGUCUCCCAUGUGCUCUUGUUGGAACAAAGAAAAUCAAUAGGUCUGAAUUCCCUGCCAGAUCAAAUGGCACGUGCUUUUCCCUAUACUAAGAUAGCUCCUCUCUAGGACACAUUCCUGCUCUCAAAAGGUUUACCUUUGUGUUGAGGAAGAAAUGAUAUGAACAAAUAAAUAGUUAAAUAACAAUACAAGGUUUAAGUAACUGAGAAAAGCAAUAAUAAAAAAAAGAUAUGCCAAGACAGUGCAGUGGUAUCUCAAAUAAUUUCCUGUGGAACUUGAGGUUUGGGCAAUAAGAAAAGCAAGCAUAUCAUAAACCAUUAGAGGAGUUAUUUAAAUCCCUAUGAGAUAGUAUCUGCAGAUAUGCUUUCCCUUUCUCUGCAGCUUGAAUAUGGUAAACAGAACCAGGCCUUCCUAGCUAAAUCAUAAAAUCUGCAAAGAUAUGAAUCCUGCAAAGGCUAUUCUCUCCUUCUCAUCCCACCCAGCCACCUCCCCACCCUGAAUAUCCUACCUUCCAUAGCUCUCCAUUAUCACUACUCCAAGAUGUGGCUGUGCAGUUCUAGACACUAGACAGUAUGGUUGUUUGGGAGAAAUAACUCUUUGUAUACCUGCUGAAAGCCUUUCGACAAGUUCUGAACUCUGUUUCCUAUAUGUCAACUGCUCACAGAGUUUCCCUCAUGGGUCACAUCUGUAACAGCCAUUUCUUUUAGUCUGUCAUAAGUGAAGUGGUCAUCCAAAACCAUGGCAUUAUCACUUGUUUGAUUGAGAAUGUUAAUUACCAGGAACACCUGUUCAUUUCCUAACCCUGGGGAUUAAGCCAUCUUGACUAUUAACAAUGGUUUGAACAAGCCAGAAUUUGCCACUUCAUUUGGUAGGUACUGUGUAAACUACUUGUCAUACAGUCUGGGCCCACGUGGCCUGGUUAGAGACACAGAGUUAUACGUUGGCUAAAAAAGCAGAGACCCUGGAGCAGGACUGUGUAUUCAGACUGACAUGGGUUUAAACUUAGAUCUACCAUUUUCUGGCUGUAUUACCCUGGUCAAGUUACUUAAACUUUCUCUAAAUCUCCUCAGUUUCACCAAUUGUAAGGCUAAGACUAGAAAACACACCUUGUAGAGUUGUGAAACUAAAAGUGGUAACAUUCAUAAAAUGUUUACCAGGUUGCGUAGUGAGCACUCAAUAAAUGGUAACCAUUAGCUAUGAUUGAGAUGACAUCAAACAUGAAUAAACAACAAGUGGAUGUACAAGUAAGAUUCCAUGCUACUUUUCAUACUGAUGAAUAAUUGAAAAGCAAAAGAUAUAUUGGAGUAUAUGAGGAAGCCAUUUGGCUUAAAAUUAACUCAGCCUGACCUUGUUUUUCCAGAAAGACCUGACAUGACCUGUUGAGCAUGCAUUGUACCUCUGCUUUAAACAUUUACAAUGUCCCAAAGCCAAGAAUGAUGACCUUAAAGAUGGGGAUGUUGCCCCCCGCCCAUAUCAACAUUUCUUUAAGGAAAAACAUUCCUUCCCAGAAACUAAGGAUUAGUUACUGACCCACUGUUCUCAUCUCAUGACCACUGACCUGCUGACCACUGACCUGCUGUGCUAGCAAAGCAUCUCAUGACUCUAGUAAAAGAGAUACUCCUAUCAAUUGUGAUGUAUGUUCCUUGUUCCAAGAUGGUGUAUAACCACUCUGUACACCCUGCUUCUUCAGAACACUUCCUUCCUUGGGAAGUUUGCUCACUGAUUAUAGUCCUCAAAAAUGGCUCAUAUAAUAAGCGCACCUGAAUUUUUAUUUAUAGAUUGACUACAGAUUAUUUGCACUGACAAUACUGUAAAACACUAUUCAGCAAAUUAAAGUAACCAUUUUGGGGGCUUAGUCUGAGUGUAGUGCUCCUCUAGAGAAAAAAUAUAGACAAGAUUCAUCCUUGGAUAAUUUUAAACUAAAGUCAUUCUAAAAUCUAAUCCAAUAAACAGUUAUUGGGUAUCGUCAUUGUGCCAGGAAAUAUGCAAGUAUCAGGAAUACAAAAUUAAAUAUAGUUUAGUGAGAUAAGCAUACUAAUUGAGUCUGUACAUAUGAUAGCCUGAAUGCUAAAGUAAAACAUAUUGUAUAGUUAUUCAGACAAGAAAAAAAGAGACAAAUGUGUGUUAUUUCCUUGCCUGUGUAGCUGUGUGAUUUAUUUCAUUUCUACUUUCAUGUUUUAUUAGCUGCAAUUUUCCAAUGUAUAAUUGAAUUUCUACAAUAGGAAAGGAGAAACAUUUUAAUUACCAUCAAGAUCUAAUAUAUGUAUUUUUCACUGCAACAAUCAUACUCUUGCUGUUAAACUAUUAAGAAAAAUAAUGUGUAGAAUUUGUUCAGUUUGAUCAUUGUUUAUCUACCUAAAAUAAAAAUUGGAAGAAAUUUACUUGUGUAUAGAUAAUUUUACCUUCUCAGUUGUCUAAAAAUAUCUACAUAGACUGCUGGUUAUGGGACUUCCUUUCCUGACUAAUCCUCUCAUCCUAAAAAUUUAUAUAUUUCUCCAACCUUUCCAUAGUCUCUUUUCUGCCUUCUAUACAGUUACUCUCUUGAUGAGUCCAACAAUUCAAAUAUCAGGACAUAACAUUUUGUGACAAAGAGAAAGAUACUUAAUUUUAUAUAAAUGUUUUGAUUCUUGAUAUUUAAUAUGUAAGGCAAAUACCAAUUUAAAAUAAGAGGCUUAAUUCUCUCUGUGAAAAAUAAGGGAGGAGAUGUCCUACCCUCCUUUUUCUUACAUAUUUACUUUAGAAAACUUGUAAUUUUAAAUUCUUUCUCUGUCUCUUUGAAAUGUAUGCAAAUCUUUUUAAAGGCUAGAUAAGCCUCUUGUCAGUCUUACAAUCCAGGAAUAUCUUUCUCUAGGAUCUGAGAACCAUCUCUUUGAAAUGUAAUCAUCAAGGAAGAUAGUGCCCCCAUCUCCCAGUUUCUGUGGGCAGGUAAGAGCCCAACCUUGGACAUGUUGCAAAACUACCUCAUUAUAAAGCUUGUCAUAUGAGGAUGUGAUGCAUGGAGAUGCAGCAGACAUAUUGUGACCAUUAGAGGCAAGUCCGAAGAAGGAAACCAACAUACUGAGGAUGGAAGAGCAAAAGAAUCUCAAAUGAAUGAGCAAAAGAGCGUAAGAAUGUUCUGGAUGACGUCUUUAAGCUGCCGAAUCAACCCCGAACUCAUUCCUCUGGAUUUUUUGUUAAAUAAAAAUAACUACUCUGUACAACUAAAACAAGCUCUUAUUAAAUUUUUGUUUAUUUGGAACUAAAAGCAUUCUAAGUAAUUCAAGAAUCUACUUUAAGGAAUUGUUAAGAUUAAAUGAAAUGAGAGAUAAAAUAACUAGAAUAGAACUUAGUUGAUACUCAACUAAAAAAAAAAAAAUGCUUUUGUUGCUGCUAAUGGGGCCUAUACUAGAUCCAAGCACCUGCUGGUCUAUUGUAUGUGUCUAUAUCAUAGGUCAGAGACUCCAGCUUGGGAGGGUUUGGGAAUGAGGGGCUGUUGAAGCAAAAGGACAGAAAUUGUGGGACUAUUGGUCAAUGACAGGAACAUUAGGGUAAAAUGCAAAAUGUGUAAAAAUUUAAGUAGAGCAAUUGUUCUCAAACAGGAACUAUUUAUACUCUUAACAAUUAUUUAGAACUCUGAAAAGCUUUAUGUAAGUUGCCUAUAUCAAUAUUUACUGUAUUAGAAUUUUAAACUGAGAAAGAUUUAUUGAUUACUUCAUUUUAAUUUUACUACACUUUAUUUAAAAACAUUUUAUAUAACAUUGGGCUUUUGUACAGAUAAAAAAAUUAUGAGAAAAAUGUCAUUAUUUAAAUAUUUUUUGAAUCACUUUAAUGUCUACCUUCUCAUAAGGGUUUCUGCAUUCAAACUGUUCUGUUGUGUUUGAAGUAUAAGGAAGAAGUUUUGGUUUUACACAGAUAUGCACUUAGAAAAGGGAGGAGUAUUGUAAUAAUCUUUAAGUUAAUUGUGGUUAUUUUUUUUGGAACUACACCAAAACUUGUCAAUUUAUGAUUACUUAAAAGUUGAUUAUAAUGUAGAAUCUUGAUCCAUAGCUACAAAUAUUUCAUAGCAACAAAUAUGAAAUACAUUGAUGUGUCUUGCACCUUAAUUACCCUUUACCCAUGCAUAACUUUGUAACAUUAUCCAUUGCCUAUUUGGAAAAAUAUUGGUUAACAGAGUUAUGUGUAUCUUCCAAAAGCUGACAAAUUUAUUUUCACAUCUGUUAACAUCAUUGGUGUCCUCAUCAGAAUAUUAUUUAAGUACUGGGAAACUGUCAAGUACAUGAUAGCAGACCCACAUUCUCCAAAAUUCUAAUUUUUCAUUGAAAGCUUGAAAUUUAUCAUUGCAACAAAUAUUAUCAGUUGUUUUCCUUGAAAUGACAGGUUCACAUCAUUAAUUUUAAAAAAAAUUUCUGUCAAAACUUGUUUGAAUAAUUGUAGUAUGUCUGUCAAUUGUGUUUUCAAGUAAAAUGUUCUGCUAAAAAGGCAGCUAGGUUAGCUACAUCUAAAACAAUUGUGCAUGUGCUUUUACUCGAGAUGGCCAUCAUAUUUCAGAAUGUAGCAAGUGUUUCUCUAUAUCUCUCAUUUUGUCACAUAGACUGUUAAAGAGGAAUGUAUGGAAAGGUCGAGUUUAAUUAAAUUUUACUGCUUCAUCAACAA